UCCGUCUUUAAGAGAGAGAGAGAAGCGCCCGUAGUAAGGAACGCAAGAACCAGAGAGCUCCUCUGUUCUGUCUAUUAAGUGAAGCCGUCGUGCUCUGUAAUCCUUCUCUCUGAAACCCUAAUUUCCCUCCGCAAAACGGAGAUCGUGCGGGAGCUUGCUGUAAUCAAAGAAGGAGUAGGAGAUGUUGGGGGGUGGAGAGAACGAAGCAGCCCUAGGUCGCAUUAACAUGAUGGGGGGACCGUCGCUGCCGCUGCAACUGAACCCGGUGGCGAUUCCCGGCGAUAUUCCGGUGCCGACGAAGGCCAGGGACGAGAGGGUUCCCCAGUGGAGCUACCAGGAGACGAGAGAUCUCAUUGCAAUACGCGGGGAGCUCGAGAAGGAUUUCAAUUUGGCGAAGCGAAACAAGACUCUUUGGGAGCGCGUCGCCACCAAGAUGAAGGAGCGAGGCUAUAGGAGAACUCCCGAUCAGUGUAAAUGCAAGUGGAAGAAUCUCGUCAACAAAUACAAGGGUAAAGAGACAUCUGAUCCAGAAAAUGGAAGCCAGUGCCCAUUCUUUGAGGAGCUGCGUGCUGUAUAUAAUGAGAGAGCAAAAAACAUGCACCGCAUGCCUCUUGAAUCAGAGGCUGGUUCAGGGCAAACUAAGAAGAGGGCAAAAAGAAUGAGUGGAGAUGGAUCAUCUGAUGAUUUCUCAGAAGAUGAAGAUGAGGAUGAAGACUUCAGCGAGGGGGAAAGGGUCACAAAAACCAGCAAUCCUCGUAAGAGAAAGGCUGAUAGAGAAAGGCAGACGCGUGCGACAACAUUGGACAGGACUUCAAGGCCAUCCAGUACCGGGAGUAUCAGCAACAGCACUACUAAUAUUGGUGGUGGUAUCAAGGAAAUGCUUCAGGAAUUCUUUCAGCAGCAGCAAAGGAUUGAAAUGCAGUGGAGGGAGUCAAUGGAAAGGCGUGCCCGUGAGAGGAUUUUGUUUGAGCAGGAAUGGCGUCAGUCGAUGGAGAAGCUUGAGAGGGAGAGGCUGAUGAUUGAACAAGCUUGGAGAGAAAGAGAUGAACAGAGGAGGAUAAGGGAGGACAGCCGGGCGGAGAAGAGGGAUGCCCUCUUGACAACCCUCUUGAACAAACUAAUGCAUGAAAAAUAAUCUUUUGAGACAAGGGAUGAGGCAUGAUUAGCUUGAUACAGCUUCUUGUUUGGUUUCUUAGGAGAAGAAAGAGAUCUGAAAUGGGGAAGGGAAGCAUAGACACCUAACAUAAACAGUCCAUAUUUGAUUUUGGGUAUAUAAAGAAGGUUAUAUUUGCUAAUUUGACAACUAUAUAUGACAACCAAGUUGCUCGCUGCUGGGAAAAAGUUCCAUUCCGAAAUUUGCAGUACCCUAAUCACAAAGUUCAGUGUUGAGGAUGCCAGCAUCAUAUCCACAUUCCAUAUACAAGUUCUUUUAUUUUUCCCAUCCUCAAUGUGAUAGAGUUUUAAAGGUGGCAUUGUUGAACUUGAUUUGGACAUUGAUCCAGCGGAGGGAUUGGUUCACGGAUCCAACCAGUGGAUUAGCAGUUGGAUGGCUGGGGCAAAUCACUAAAUUAGCGGGUCAAUAAUAAUCUAAUUAAAAAUUUUAUAUGAUAUUUUAAAAACAUUUCAAAAUAGAAAUUAAAAAAAAUAAAAUUAACUGUUAUAAACCUUACAUUAUAAAUUCAAUAUUUUCAUUCAUAACCCAAAACAUUAGAAAAUUAAGGUAAAUUCUGCGAAUUGAGAAUUUACUUUUAGAGUUAUUCGGAUGCCCUACAUUUUUGUAGGGCAUGGAGAAUAGAGGAUGCCUGGGGUAUUUUUUUCUAGUUCACACUUCACAAGUUCUUUCACAUUUUUACCUUCUUCAAUAAAAAGUUAAAAACUAAGAAAAAGUAAAGGAUAGAAACUGUUAUUAAAGAUACUAUUGAUGGGAGAGACGGAUUUAAUGACGCUAAUUAGUAGAUAAUUUUUUGUAAAAUUUUGAAUCUCUUUACACCAGUCCUAUGUAUUCAUUUUCGAAUAUAAUAUAAUAUGAACCAAACAGAAAUAUUCUAA